UACGUAGGGCGCAAGCGUUGUCCGGAAUUCUUGGGCGUAAAGAGCUCGUAGGCGGUUUGUCGCGUCUGUCGUGAAAGCUUGGGGCUUAACCCCAAGUCUGCGGUGGAUACGGGCAGACUAGAGGCAGGUAGGGGAGAACGGAAUUCCCGGUGUAGCGGUGAAAUGCGCAGAUAUCGGGAGGAACACCGGUGGCGAAGGCGGUUCUCUGGGCCUGUACUGACGCUGAGGAGCGAAAGCGUGGGGAGCGAACAGG
rnacentral:rRNA from 1 species